GACGAACGCUGGCGGCGUGCUUAACACAUGCAAGUCGAGCGAUGAAGCACCUUCGGGUGUGAAUUAGCGGCGAACGGGUGAGGAACACGUGAAGAAUCUGCCUUCAACUCUGGGAUAACUCCGGGAAACCGGGGCUAAUACCGGAUAUGAGCCUUGAUCGCAUGAUCGGGGCUGGAAAGUCUUUCGGUUGAAGAUGACUUCGCGGCCUAUCAGCUUGUUGGUGAGGUAAUGGCUCACCAAGGCGCCGACGGGUAGCCGGCCUGAGAGGGCGACCGGCCACACUGGGACUGAGACACGGCCCAGACUCCUACGGGAGGCAGCAGUGGGGAAUAUUGGGCAAUGGAGGAAACUCUGACCCAGCGACGCCGCGUGAGGGAUGAAGGCCUUCGGGUUGUAAACCUCUUUCAGUAGGGAAGAAGCGAAAGUGACGGUACCUACAGAAGAAGCACCGGCUAACUAUGUGCCAGCAGCCGCCGUAA
rnacentral:rRNA from 1 species